GAUGAACGCUAGCGGCAGGCCUAAUACAUGCAAGUCGAACGGUGUAGCAAUACACAGUGGCGCACGGGUGCGUAACACGUAUGCAACCUACCUUACAUUGGGGGAUAGCCUUUCGAAAGGGAGAUUAAUACCGCAUAAGACAGUAACUGGGCAUCCAGUAGCGGUUAAAGAUUUAUCGAUGUAAGCUGGGCAUGCGUCCAAUUAGUUAGUUGGCGAGGUAAUGGCUCACCAAGACGAUGAUUGGUAGGGGAACUGAGAGGUCAAUCCCUCACACUGGCACUGAGAUACGGGCCAGACUCCUACGGGAGGAAGCAGUAGGGAAUAUUGGGCAAUGGGCGCAAGCCUGACCCAGCCAUGCCGCGUGCAGGAAGAAGGCGUUAUGCGUUGUAAACUGCUUUUGUACGGAACGAAACGGUCUGGGUUAAUACCCUGGGCUAAUGACGGUACCGUAAGAAUAAGCACCGGCUAACUACGUGCCAGCAGCCGCAGUAAGAC
rnacentral:rRNA from 1 species